UCGGCUGUCACUUAUAGAUGGACCCGCGCCGUAUUAACUAGUUGGUAGGGUAACGGCCUACCAAGGUGAUGAUACGUAGCCGAGUUGAGAGACUGAUCGGCCACAAUGGGACUGAGACACGGCCCAUACUCCUACGGGAGGCAGCAGUAGGGAAUCUUCCACAAUGGGCGCAAGCCUGAUGGAGCAACGCCGCGUGAAUGAAGAAGGUCUUCGGAUCGUAAAAUUCUGUUGUUAGAGAAGAAUAUGAGUAAUAGUAACUGAUUAUUCACUGACGGUAUCUAACCAGCAAGUCACGGCUAACUACGUGCCAGCAGCCGCGGUAAUACGUAGGUGGCAAGCGUUGUCCGGAUUUAUUGGGCGUAAAGCGCGCGUAGGCGGUUUCUUAAGUCUGAUGUGAAAGCCCCCGGCUCAACCGGGGAAGGUCAUUGGAAACUGUUUCGCUUGAGUGCAGAAGAGGAGAGUGGAAUUCCAUGUGUAGCGGUGAAAUGCGCAGAGAUAUGGAGGAACACCAGUGGCGAAGGCGGCUCUCUGGUCUGCAACUGACGCUGAUGUGCGAAAGCGUGGGGAUCAAACAGGAUUAGAUACCCUGGUAGUCCACGCCGUAAACGAUGAGUGCUAAGUGUUAGGGGGUUUCCGCCCCUUAGUGCUGCAGCAAACGCA
rnacentral:rRNA from 1 species